rnacentral:lncRNA from 1 species
ACCGGGCUCCGUUCACGAAGUACGUACGUCAUUUGAGUGGUGUUUACUGCCAACCUGUACAGCAGUGGACGACGUUCCAAGGAUCGCAGUCGCACUAAAUGAUUUGUCGACUUACCGAUAUUCAAUUUGCUGGUAAUUAGCCAGAGAGCUGCGGAAUCGAGCCAUGCAGUUUGGAGCCGACGAGUUGGGAUUGGCCGAUGUUGCGAAACUGGCCAAACAGAGCAAGUCGGUUGCACGUCGGCCUUUUCCAGGACUUGACAUGAUGCAUGGGUUCAUGAA